rnacentral:rRNA from 1 species
UACAGAGGUCCCAAGCGUUGUUCGGAUUCACUGGGCGUAAAGGGUGCGUAGGCGGUCGGGUAAGUCUGUCGUGAAAUCUCCGAGCCCAACUCGGAAACUGCGUCGGAUACUAUUCGGCUAGAGGAAUGGAGGGGAGACUGGAAUUCUCGGUGUAGCAGUGAAAUGCGUAGAUAUCGAGAGGAACACCAGUGGCGAAGGCGAGUCUCUGGACAUUUCCUGACGCUGAGACGCGAAAGCGUGGGGAGCAAACAGG